rnacentral:rRNA from 1 species
UGGGGAAUAUUGGGCAAUGGGCGCAAGCCUGACCCAGCAACGCCGCGUGAAGGAAGAAGGCUUUCGGGUUGUAAACUUCUUUUAUCAGGGACGAAACAAAUGACGGUACCUGAUGAAUAAGCCACGGCUAACUACGUGCCAGCAGCCGCGGUAAUACGUAGGUGGCGAGCGUUAUCCGGAUUUACUGGGUGUAAAGGGCGUGUAGGCGGGACUGCAAGUCAGAUGUGAAAACUAUGGGCUCAACCCAUAGCCUGCAUUUGAAACUGUAGUUCUUGAGUGUUGGAGAGGCAAGCGGAAUUCCGUGCGUAGCGGUGAAAUGCGUAGAUAUACGGAGGAACACCAGUGGCGAAGGCGGCUUGCUGGACAAUAACUGACGCUGAGGCGCGAAAGCGUGGGGAGCAAACAGGAUUAGAUACC